UUGCAUGAGGAGUCACCCUACCUCAGGAUAAGAGAGACCUGGGGGCCCUCCCCAGCUUUGGGCUCUGAGGCAUAGCUCUGGGGUGUCUCCACCAUGGCCUGGACCCCUCUCCUGCUUCCUCUUCUGACUCUCUACACAGGGGCCGCGGCCUCCUACCAGCUGACUCAGCCAUCCUCGGUGUCAGUGGCCCUGGGACAGACGGCCACCAUCACCUGCUCUGGAGAUUUACUGGAUAAAAUAUAUACUGAUUGGUACCAGCAGCACCCGGGCCAGGCCCCUGUGGUGGUUAUAUAUAAGGAUACCGAGCGGCCCUCGGGAGUCCCUGACCGAUUCUCUGGGUCCAGCUCAGGAAAGACGGUCACCCUGACCAUCACUGGGGCCCAGGCUGAGGACGAGGCUGACUAUUACUGUGAGUCAGCAGACAACGAUAAAAAUCCCACAGUGACACAGGCAGAUGGGGAAGUGAGACACAAACCCUCUUCCCCAUCUGGGUCACACUGUCCCUGUAGUCCCAGAAGGACUGAGGACAUAGCAGGAGCCAAGCUUGUCCAGCUCAGCCAGACCUGA